AUACACGCAAUGAACGGGAGCAGUAGAUGACGAAGGUGAACAGAGAGCUGCGGGGUGGUGCGACGCAGUCACCGGAAAACAUUGAAUCUCGCCCGGGAGCGGAGCGGCGGAAAGGCAAGAGGUACGCCGCAACGGUUGUCCCCGUUAACGGACCUUCAUGUAUCGUGGUCGGUUCCUUAUGAAACCGGUACGGGAUACAUGGGGAAGAGCUGGACGCAGCUGGGCUUGGCAUUACCAGGAGCCUAUGCGUCAAAAAGAGUGGUACCGCGGAGGGGUGACCCGCCGUCUCUUUA
rnacentral:ncRNA from 1 species